rnacentral:rRNA from 1 species
GACGAACGCUGGCGGCGUGCUUAACACAUGCAAGUCGAACGGAAAGGCCCUGCUUGCAGGGUACUCGAGGGGCGAACGGGUGAGUAACACGUGGGUGAUCUGCCCUGCACUUCGGGAUAAGCCUGGGAAACUGGGUCUAAUACCGGAUAGGAGCCAUUUUUAGUGUGAUGGUUGGAAAGUUUUUUCGGUGUAGGAUGAGCUCGCGGCCUAUCAGCUUGUUGGUGGGGUAAUGGCCUACCAAGGCGGCGACGGGUAGCCGGCCUGAGAGGGUGGACGGCCACAUUGGGACUGAGAUACGGCCCAGACUCCUACGGGAGGCAGCAGUGGGGAAUAUUGCACAAUGGGCGCCAGCCUGAUGCAGCGACGCCGCGUGGGGGAUGACGGCCUUCGGGUUGUAAACUCCUUUCGCUAGGGACGAAGCUUUUUGUGACGGUACCUAGAUAAGAAGCACCGGCUAACUACGUG